CUGCUGCCUCCCGUAGGAGUCUGGUCCGUGUCUCAGUACCAGUGUGGGGGACCUUCCUCUCAGAACCCCUACGCAUCGUCGCCUCGGUGGGCCGUUACCCCGCCGACUAGCUAAUGCGCCGCAUGCCCAUCCGUAGCCGGAAUCGCUUCCUUUAAUCCCUCAGGGAUGCCCCCGAAAGAUAUUACGCGGUAUUAGACGGAAUUUCUUCCGCUUAUCCCCCUGCUACGGGCAGGUCGCAUACGUGUUACUCACCCGUGCGCCGGUCGCCGU
rnacentral:rRNA from 1 species